GAUGCUUCCCAGUUGCUGCAUCACAUAGCACCGACAACAACAACAAACUAACAAUACAAUGUGCAACUCAAAAGUAGAUAACGAGCAAUAAUUAUAAAAAAAGUUAUGA